rnacentral:rRNA from 1 species
UACGUAGGGGGCAAGCGUUGUCCGGAUUUACUGGGCGUAAAGAGCGCGUAGGCGGAAGCUUAAGUGUGGCCUGAAAGCCCCCGGCUCAACCGGGGAGAGUCGUCGGGGACCGCACCGCUUGAGGUCGGUAGGGGCUGGUGGAAUGCCUGGUGUAGUGGUGAAAUGCGUAGAGAUCAGGCAGAACACCUGGGGCGAAGGCGGCCAGCUGGGCCGUCCCUGACGCUGAGGCGCGAAGGCGUGGGGGGCGAACGGG